rnacentral:rRNA from 1 species
CCUACGGGAGGCAGCAGUGGGGGAUAUUGCACAAUGGGGGGAACCCUGAUGCAGCGACGCCGCGUGGGUGAAGGAGCGUUUCGGCGCGGAAAGCCCUAUCGGCAGGGAAGAAGGAGGACGGUACCUGACCAAGAAGCCCCUGCUAACUACGUGCGAGCAGCCGCGGUACUUCGGAGGGGGCCAGCGUUAUCCGGAUUUACUGGGUGUAACGGGGGUGCAUACGGCUGCGCAAUCCAGGAGUGAAAUGCCGGGGCCCAACCCCGGGCCUGCCGUUGAAACUGGGCGGCUGGAGUGCAAGAGGGACAGGCGGAAUGCGUGGUGUAGCGGUGAAAUGCGUAGAUAUCGGGAAGAACACCGAUGGCGAAGGCAGCAUGCUGGACUGAGACUGACGUUGAGGCACGAAAGCGUGGGGAGCGAACAGGAUUAGAUACCCUAGUAGUC